GUAGGAUCGGGAGAGAUUAGAGCUCUCUCACUUCUCGUAGUUGGACGACAGUGUGGUGCUUGGUCCUCUGUUGAGUCUCGAUUUUACCAGCAAAUAUUGUUUUCUUUCUGCAACUGGACUGAUGCAAGAGGCGACAACAUCUGGAAGAUAGAAGCCGGUGGCAUCCUUUCAGAUUUGGACGUGGAGGUAAACUUUCACUUUGAUGCAUGAUUUACAUUCAUUUUAAUACGUGAGCAGUUAUCAUCUUGGACAUGUCCGUUUAAGAUUUGACAGGCUGACCCUUUUUUUAUUUUCAUUAACAACCCAUAAAGGAUGGAAUCAAAUAUGCUAGAGUUGAGUUGAUGCUGUCUUGUACCUCUUGCUCCCAAUACAUGAGUGUUAUUACGGGCCGCCAUUAACCCCUGACCUUUUCACACUGACAACCAGCUCAAGACGGGAUUACCAUCAGGAAAAGCAGUCGGAUGUCACAGAAACCCCCCAAAAACUCGUCACAGCGUUUAAAGGUGGAGGGUUCAGCGAGCAUGAGGCAGGCGGUGGAGGCUCAGGUGUUAAGCCCUCACUGUGAACUCGGAGAGCAUGGCCUUCGUCAGAUCCUGACAGAUGUGGUGGAGGAGGUGAGGCGCACGCUGAAUCAGGACAUCGACGGAGCAGAGAUUCUCCAGAGUCUUCUCAAUGCCUCCUGGUUGCAGUCGCUGCUCAAGGUUUAUGAGUGUCUUCAAAGAUACCUCCGAGACUCCCCAGAGCCGGCCUUGGACUACGCCUCUGGACUCUCAUUUCAGCUGCUGAUUGACAUCAAGGCGUUACCUGGAUGCUCUGAGGAGGCCAAGGAGCUCGACCGACUCCUGCGACAGCCGCACUUGCAGGCUUUGCUUUCUGCGCACGACAGCGUGGCCCAGAAGGACUACGAGCCGGCGUUGCCGCCGAUGCCAGCUGAUGUUCCGGAUGACGAGGAGGCCACCAGGAUCGUCUGCCUGGUCAAAAACAAGCAGUCCCUGCUUUGCCACCAUCUGAGUGCUUGUCCGCAGCUGCCUGCCAUGGCAAAAAGCCCCAGAGCAGGGAUCCGCAGUCGCUGGGACACGCUGAGGCGUCUGACGCGCCAGAGGCUUCACUUAGAGGGCGCGCUGGGCUCCGGGCGCAUCCCCAGCCCGCGUGAGACUUAUUCAGCAGUGUGUAGCGUGCGCAGAGGGAGCUACCCGCCAGCAGAGGCGCUCUGUCACCAAGCGCUUUGGCCCCGCCGUCCGCCUUGCUGCGCAGCCAUGAGUAGCAAUAGCAACGCAAUGAGCCGGUGUCGACUUUGUUACACAAACCUCCUCUGGCAGCAAAAUGUCAACCACUCAGCUCCUUCAGUCUACAACUCUGUUCUGAUUGACAACUUCAUUGAAGAGAUAGAUGGCAGAAAUGAGGAUGAAGCAACUGCGCCACCCAUUCAGGCCCCCAGCAUGCCCCAGCGGUGGGCUGUUUCCCCUCCUGGCCUCUCCCUGCCCUACUACGCCAACGUGGACCAGUCCCUACAGCCUAGUCUGCCUCCAAGGCUAAGAAGCCAGAGCCCGCGAAGCCGCACGGCGCCCCCCAGCCCCAUGUGCCCCCAGCGCCUUGUAAAGAUCCCUCGGGUGCCCCCUGUGGAGCUCGCCAAGCAGGAGAGUCUGGAUGAGCUGCGGAGCACCGUGCAGCUGGCCGCCAGCUCCAUGGAGAACAGCACCAAGGAUAUCAAGCUCCUCGGGGAGAAGAUGGCGGCUGCAACCGACCGCAUGUCUGAAACCGUCCAGGACAAUUCCCAGGCUUUAGUCGUCCUCAGCCAGGUGGUGGAGCAGCUGCAGGUGCGCCUCACCGCCUCACCGGCGAAGGGUGCAAUCGCUGAGCAGUAUGCGUCCCUGAAAUCCAUGCCAUGGGUUGUGUCGUCCUCGUCCAGUUCCCUCAGCAGCUGCCCGGACGAGCCCUCCACUUCCGGGGCCACCAGCUGUCUGUCAGGGGCCUGCCGCGGGUCGCCCCGCUGGAAAGGCAAGAAACCGCCUUUGACUAACGGCACCUCGGCCGAACCCAAAGAGGCUGUGAGAGGAAAUCACUCUCAAGGGAGGAAAAAAGGGAGGAAGACGGCGACGUGAGAGGCCGACGAGAGCAAAACAUCCACCUCUUUGCGUUGGUUGGAUAUUUAUUUUAUUCCAUCUCAGUCUCCAUCAUUAAGGACCACUUCAUGCCUUUCUGUGUCCCUUUUCACUCUGUUCAUUUGUGUUUGCUUCCUUCCACCACCCUGGAGUCAGUCUGCAGUCUUCAUUGACCCAUCACUGGACCUCCAUUGUGCCUCCGUUGCGCCUCACUCGUCUUAUGUGGUCUCCCUGUUUCUGUCCUAGGGGGCAACGAUAAAGAGAAAUGACAUCACCGGGGAGAUUUUUGUGGCUCGGGUGAUCCACGGAGGCCUGGCCGAUCGUAGUGGUCUGCUGCACGCGGGGGACCGAAUCAUUGAGGUGAAUGGAUUUCCUGUGGAUGGCUUGGAGCCGGAACAAGUCAU